GUCUGCUAGAUGGCGCGAGUGUCUUCGUUACUCAAGACGAAAUUCCGCCAUUUCUUAAAACACUGAUUGGAAGCCACAUGUUGAAAACGUAUCGUUGGAUUGGAUACUUAAUACGGCGUACUUUCCUUUCUUGACAUUUUUAUUCGUAAUAAUGGUAUUUAUCUGGUAUCAGCCUAUAAUUUCUACAUGGCAAUUUCAUCUGAUCAUGUGGCCUGAGCAGCUGAACAUUUUGCCAAAAUGUCUCUUUUUCCUGUACCAGCUUCACGUUUGUCAGAAACACUUCAGAACAAUUCAGGAUUAACACCCCGGUAUCUGGUAACAGCCUAUAAUUUCUACAUGGCAAUUUCAUCUGAUCAUGUGGCCUGAGCAGCUGAACAUUUUGCCAAAAUGUCUCUUUUUCCUGUACCAGCUUCAUGUUUGUCAGAAACACUUCAGAACAAUUCAGGAUUAACACCCUGGUGGAGUUUGAGCUUCUUUGUUGCUGCCCAACUUACACAUGGAUUUGACGCAGCCAGCUGAGGGCUCUAAUUCUUGUUGAUCAUGUAUGUUCGUGUAGUUGCUGUCCGAUGUGGCACGUUGUUGCAGCCUAUGAUGGUGAAAGAUCUUUCUACAUCAAGUUCAAUUGGCCGUUCCUUGGUGCUGAUGUUGUGUUACCGAAGUUGCAUCAUAUUUUGUUAAAUUGUCAUCGCGACUAUUGCAGUUUAUAAGUUCAGAAGCAAAAAAAAAAAUUUGGGAUGUUUAUGUCAACAAAUAAUAAACAUGUUUCCGGGAUUGGGAAAGGAAAGUGGAGGAUGUUGGAGGGGGGAGGGAGGAUAUUUCAAGUUUGGAUAAAAAUUCAGUUAAUCUAUUACCAUACAAAUGUUGCCCUACCAAUUAAUCUCCAAACCCCACAAACAUAUACCUUCCAAUCCUUCAAACCCCGAAAACAUACACCUACUAACCCCUAAAUUUAUACCCUCAACCCUAAAAACCAAUUACCUUAACCAUGUGUAAUAAAUCAAAAUAAAUACGUUGUAUGAACCAA
rnacentral:lncRNA from 1 species